AUUGAACGCUGGCGGCAGGCCUAACACAUGCAAGUCGAACGAGUGGCGGACGGGUGAGUAAUGUAUGGGAAACUGUCCGCUGGAGGGGGAUAACUACUGGAAACGGUAGCUAAUACCGCAUACCAUCGGAUGUGCCCAGAUGGGAUUAGCUAGUAGGUGGGGUAAUGGCUCACCUAGGCGACGAUCCCUAGCUGGUCUGAGAGGAUAACAAGCCAAACUGGAACGGAGAAACGGGCCAGACUCCUACGGGAGGCAGCAGUGGGGAAAAUUGCACAAUGGGCGCAAGCCUGAUGCAGCCAGGCCGCGGGUAUGAAGAAGGCCUUCGGGUUGUAAAGUACUUUCAGCGAGGAGGCGUUACUCGCAGAAGAAGCACCGGCUAACUCCGUGCCAGCAGCCGCGGUAAUAC
rnacentral:rRNA from 1 species